rnacentral:piRNA from 1 species
UGAUAAGCCUCACCUACUGACCGCCC